rnacentral:rRNA from 1 species
AUGAAUGCAGUGCUGGAGGCGGAGUAUACCAGAGAAGAGGUAAAAGCGGCACUUGACCACAUAGAUGAUCUCAAGGCUCCGGGGCCAGAUGGGGUGCCGGCGAUUGUGUUCAAGCGGCAUUGGCAUUUCAUGGGAGACCGUUUUGUGGAGGAAGUACUGAAUGUGUUGAAUGGAGGAGAAAUCCCGGAGGGGUGGAAUGACACAAUGGUGGUGCUUAUACCCAAGGUUAAAAACCCUAAAAGGAUCAAGGACCUACGCCCCAUAAGCUUGUGCAAUGUUGUCUACAAAUUGAUCUCCAAGGUGAUUGCCAAUAUACUCAAGCUGAUUCUCCCCGAGGUGAUCUCGGAAAACCAGAGUGCGUUUGUGCCCGGGAGGCUCAUUACAGAUAACGUUAUCACAGCCUAUGAGAUUUCUCACUAUCUGAUGAAUAAGAGGAAGGGAAAGAAUGGAGUUGCGGCAAUUAAGGCGGAUAUGAGCAAAGCAUACGAUAGAGUGGAAUGGGGCUUUUUGGAGGCCAUGCUAACCAAAUUGGGUUUCAAUAGGGGCUGGAUUGACCUUGUCAUGAAGUGUGUCCGCACUGUCCGAUACCAGAUUAAAGUCAAUGGGGAGUUGACCCAUCAGUUCAACCCAUCACGUGGACUCAGGCAAGGGGAUCCAAUCUCCCCUACCUAUUUGUCAUUUGUGCAGAAGGGUUGUCGGCACUAUUGUUGGAUGCGGAGGAAAGAGGGAUCACGCACGGAGUAA